GGAAUCUUGCGCAAUGGGCGAAAGCCUGACGCAGCAACGCCGCGUGCGGGAAGAAGGCUUUCGGGCUGUAAACCGCUUUCAGCAGGAACGAAAAUGACGGUACCUGCAGAAGAAGGAGCGGCCAACUAUGUGCCAGCAGCCGCGGUGAUACAUAGGCUUCAAGCGUUGUCCGGAUUUAUUGGGCGUAAAGAGUUCGUAGGCGGUCGAGUAAGUCGGGUGUGAAAAUUCUGGGCUCAACCCAGAGACGCCACCCGAUACUGCUUAACUUGAGUUCGAUAGGGGAGUGGGGAAUUCCUAGUGUAGCGGUGAAAUGCGCAGAUAUUAGGAGGAACACCGGUGGCGAAGGCGCCACUCUGGAUCGAAACUGACGCUGAGGAACGAAAGCAUGGGUAGCAAACAGGAUUAGAUACCCUGGUAGUCCAUGCCGUAAACGGUGGGCACUAGGUGUGGGAUUCUAUUAACGAAUUCCGCGCCGUCGCUAACGCAUUAAGUGCCCCGCCUGGGGAGUACGGUCGCAAGACUAAAACUCAAAGGAAUUGACGG
rnacentral:rRNA from 1 species